GAUGAACGCUGACGGCGUGCCUAAUACAUGCAAGUCGAGCGAACGGACGCGACGCUUGCUUCUCUGAUGUUAGCGGCGGACGGGUGAGUAACACGUGGAUAACCUACCUAUAAGACUGGGAUCACUUCGGGAAACCGGCGCUAAUACCGGAUAAUAUUUUGCACCGCAUGGUUCAAAAGUGAAAGACGGUCUUGCUGUCACUUCUAGAUGGAUCCGCGCUGCAUUAGCUAGUUGGUAAGGUAACGGCUUACCAAGGCAACGAUGCAUAGCCGACCUGAGAGGGUGAUCGGCCACACGGGAACUGAGACACGGUCCAGACGCCUACGGGAGGCAGCAGUAGGGAAUCUGCCGCAAUGGGCGAAAGCCUGACGGAGCAACGCCGCGUGAGUGAUGAAGGUCUUCGGAUCGUAAAACUCUGUUAUUAGGGAAGAACAUAUGUGUAAGUAACUGUGCACAGCUUGACGGUACCUAAUCAGAAAGCCACGGCUAACUACGUG
rnacentral:rRNA from 1 species